GACGAACGCUGGCGGCGUGCUUAACACAUGCAAGUCGAACGGAAAGGCCCCUUUGGGGGUACUCGAGUGGCGAACGGGUGAGUAACACGUGAGUAACCUGCCCUUGACUUCGGGAUAACUUCAGGAAACUGGGGCUAAUACCGGAUAGGAAUCCUUGCUGCAUGGUGGGUUUGGAAAGCUUCGGCGGUUUUGGAUGGACUCGCGGCUUAUCAGCUUGUUGGUGGGGUAGUGGCUUACCAAGGCUUUGACGGGUAGCCGGCCUGAGAGGGCGACCGGCCACAUUGGGACUGAGAUACGGCCCAGACUCCUACGGGAGGCAGCAGUGGGGAAUAUUGCACAAUGGGCGGAAGCCUGAUGCAGCAACGCCGCGUGCGGGAUGACGGCCUUCGGGUUGUAAACCGCUUUCAGCAGGGGCGAAGCUUGUGGUGACGGUACCUGCAGAAGAAGCACCGGCUAACUACGUG
rnacentral:rRNA from 1 species